AAUCCGUGAUAUGGACACGAUCUAAGGAUACUUUUGAAUAUAUCCCAUGCUUCAUAAAGAGAUUUCAUAUCAAUCUAUCUGAAGCUAGCAAUCUGAUUUCUCAUAUG